CAGCCGCCGCGGUAACACCAGCACCUCGAGUGGUCAGGAGGUUUAUUGGGCCUAAAGCAUCCGUAGCCGGUUGCAUAAGUUUUCGGUUAAAUCUAUGCGCUUAACGUAUAGGCCGCCGAAAAUACUGUGCAGCUAGGGAGUGGGAGAGGUACACGGUACUCGAUAGGAAGGGGUAAAAUCCUUUGAUCUAUUGAUGGCCACCUGUGGCGAAGGCGGUGUACCAGAACACGUUCGACGGUGAGGGAUGAAAGCUGGGGGAGCAAACCGGAUUAGAUACCCGUGUAGUCCCUGUCUCUUAUAC
rnacentral:rRNA from 1 species